GGGUCAGCAGUUCACCCAGGGAUCACCAGCCGUAAGGCGCUAAACCUGCUC
rfam:Rhodobacteraceae bacterium GWF1_65_7 gwf1_scaffold_1751, whole genome shotgun sequence.